GGUGGCUCAGUGGUAGAGUGCUUGCCUUGCAUGCAUGAAGGCCUGGGUUUCAUUCCCCGCACCA
rnacentral:tRNA from 1 species